CAGCAGCCACGGUAACACAGAGGGUGCGAGCGUUAAUCGGAUUUACUGGGCGUAAAGCGUGCGUAGGCGGCUUCUUAAGUCGGAUGUGAAAUCCCUGAGCUUAACUUAGGAAUUGCAUUCGAUACUGGGAAGCUAGAGUAUGGGAGAGGAUGGUAGAAUUCCAGGUGUAGCGGUGAAAUGCGUAGAGAUCUGGAGGAAUACCGAUGGCGAAGGCAGCCAUCUGGCCUAAUACUGACGCUGAGGUACGAAAGCAUGGGGAGCAAACAGGAUUAGAGACCCCUGUAGUCCCUGUCUAUUAUAA
rnacentral:rRNA from 1 species